GGGGGGGGGGGCAGGUUUUGAAAAUAAAUAACUCAGUCUUGAUAAUCACAAAAAGAAAUGGUUUGUUCUGUGGUAGUUUGAAAAUAAAUUACCUGACUUUCAAUGUAUUGAAAAUAAAUAACUCAGCAGGUCUAAUCGAAAGUAUAAGAUAGCACCAGAUUCUUUAUUAAUUCAUUCCCCCCCCCCCCCCAAAAAAAAAUCGGGAAGCACUUCCCAUUUUUUUAAUAAUAAAAGAAUAAGUGUUAUUUAAAUAAUACAUGAAAUGUCUGAAAAUUGGUUUCAUUUAACUUGAGGUAUAUUGUCUCAGGAAACCUUACCUCUCUUUUAUUUGAACAGGGCCGUAACUACAUUGAGGCAAAUGCCUCUUGUAGGACAUUUCAAAACCAAACCCUUGUAUCCAUAUCAAAUUGUGUUCACAGCGAGUGUCUUACAAGAAGCAAGUUCUGUUUCCUUCAGACUUAGCCCUGAUUUUUCGGGAUCAAUGUUCUUAUUUAUUUGUCUUUUGUUCAUUGUUUGCCCUUCUGUAUUCUGUUAGUGUUGCAUUCCUUUUGAAAUAUAGUAAUUUUGUUAUGAACUUGAUCAUGACUUAAAAAAAAAAACAGCAGCCACAGACUUAACUAUGUGAAUUCUAAUUUUGCUUUAUCAUGCACAUUGGUCUUUUGAUGUUGUACCUAGAAACUUAAGUCUUACACUGAAUUUAUACAUUUUGCUUUGAGACCAAAAGACUGUCAAAAAAUGACUAAAUGAAAACUUGCAUUUUCAGAUUAUGAAAGGGUCUUCGGAAC
rnacentral:lncRNA from 1 species